rnacentral:rRNA from 1 species
UGGGGAAUAUUGCACAAUGGAGGGAACUCUGAUGCAGCGACGCCGCGUGAACGAAGAAGGCUUUCGAGUUGUAAAGUUCUUUUAUAUGGGAAGAUAAUGACGGUACCAUAAGAAGAAGCCCCGGCUAACUACGUGCCAGCAGCCGCGGUAAUACGUAGGGGGCUAGCGUUAUCCGGAAUCACUGGGCGUAAAGGGUUCGCAGGCGGAAAUGCAAGUCAGGUGUAAAAGGCAGUAGCUUAACUACUGUAAGCAUUUGAAACUGCAUAUCUUGAGAAGAGUAGAGGUAAGUGGAAUUUUUAGUGUAGCGGUGAAAUGCGUAGAUAUUAAAAAGAAUACCGGUGGCGAGGGCGACUUACUGGGCUCAUUCUGACGCUGAGGAACGAAAGCGUGGGUAGCGAACAGG